rnacentral:rRNA from 1 species
CCUACGGGAGGCUGCAGUGAGGAAUAUUGGUCAAUGGGCGAGAGCCUGAACCAGCCAAGUCGCGUGAGGGAGUACUGCCCUAUGGGUUGUAAACCUCUUUUGUCGGGGAGCAAAAGCCGGACGUGUCCGGCUGUGAGAGUACCCGAAGAAAAAGCAUCGGCUAACUCCGUGCCAGCAGCCGCGGUAAUACGGAGGAUGCGAGCGUUAUCCGGAUUUAUUGGGUUUAAAGGGUGCGCAGGCGGGUUUUUAAGUCAGCGGUAAAAUCGUGGGGCUCAACCCCAUCCAGCCGUUGAAACUGGGGAUCUAGAGUGUGCGAGAGGUAUGCGGAAUGCGUGGUGUAGCGGUGAAAUGCAUAGAUAUCACGCAGAACCCCGAUUGCGAAGGCAGCAUACCGGUGCACAACUGACGCUCAGGCACGAAAGCGUGGGUAUCGAACAGGAUUAGAUACCCGUGUAGUC